rnacentral:rRNA from 1 species
AAGACCUURUGCUUUUGGAGCGGCCGAUGUCUGAUUAGCUAGUUGGUAAGGUAAUGGCYUACCAAGGCAACGAUCAGUAGUUGGUCUGAGAGGACAACCAGCCACACUGGGACUGAGACACGGCCCAGACUCCUACGGGAGGCAGCAGUGGGGAAUUUUGGACAAUGGGCGCAAGCCUGAUCCAGCAAUGCCGCGUGAGUGAAGAAGGCCUUCGGGUUGUAAAGCUCUUUCAGUUGAGAAGAAARAAUUCUGGUUAAUACCUGGAAUUUAUGACGGUAUCGACAGAAGAAGCACCGGCUAACUACGUGCCAGCAGCCGCGGUAAUACGUAGGGUGCAAGCGUUAAUCGGAAUUACUGGACGUAAAGGGUGCGCAGGUGGUUUUGUAAGUCAGAUGUGAAAUCCCCGGGCUUAACCUGGGAAUU